rnacentral:lncRNA from 1 species
AGAUUGUUUCAUAGAUAGAUUUCACCUUGGCUUUAAGAAAGAGAGUAAUGGAAAGUGCAGAUGUUGAGGAGUUCAUCUAUUCGACUAUUCUCUCCUUCUUCCUCUCUUAAUUGUUCAAGUAAGAUAAGAAUAAGUUUCAUCACACUUGUUAUUUUCUGAUCAUCGUUUACUUAUACUUUCGAACAAACUAUGUUAUUGUUUAUACUUUAUAGGUUUUUAGAGUAAUCUGUGGUAUAAUCAACUAAUUAGGAUACUUAAAUCACUUUUCCCCCCUUCUAAACCCUAUUAUUUACUGUUGUGGUGCUUUGAUUAAUUGCUUGAUUGCAAGAAAUUUAUGUUACAUAUAAGAUUCAAUGUGUUUUUACAUUAUUGUUAAUAUUGCUUAUAUCAAUCAUGUACAGUAAAGAAUGUUGUUGUGAUUAUGGCAUUAUGCUAUACCGUAGAAGGGAGUCGACCUGCAAUCAACCUUAAAGUUGGAAGUAGAUGUGUAAGAGGAGGUGUGCAAUCAACCAGUAGAGUGAGGUCUACCUUUUUUUUUUUUCCCUUCUUGUUUUCAAUAGUGUUUCAUAUCACAAAUGGCCUUGUCAACUAAAAAAAGGAGUUUGACUGCCACUGGCAGGCGACCGAAAGUUAAAUCAGCCUACUACAACAUUUUACAUAGGAACCCCAGACGUAUAUCAUGAGUUCCAAUUUGAUAUCCCGGAUUGCAAUAUCUUUAUUGUUUAGCUUCUUCGUACUUGUAAAACUUGUUUCCCCUGUGUCUUGAUUGUUCCUACGCCAACUUGAUCAUAAAUUCAUGGAUUCAUCAUUAGAUUAAGUUUACCCUUUUUAAAAUAGCUUUUAGUCUACAUUUGAAGAUUAACACAAAAAUGAUAUUGUAUUGCAGGUUGAUUUGUUCAGCAGUUAGAUCCCCAGAAACAUGAGUUGCAUGCCAAGGCAAAUUAAGAGAGUUAAAAGCUAAACAAUGUUCUUAUGGUGAUGAUGCACUGCUUUCAGUGAAUAAAAGUCUGCAAUUAGGCUAAUUUUGCAAUCUUUUUUAUUCAGUUUUGCUUUCUUAUAUUAUUUUGGCCCUACUUUAUGAACCGCUUUGUUGAUUGGCUUUUCAUUCUUUUUGGGAACUUUAGUUGGUUAAUGAUUUCGUUCUUCAUGCGAGACAAGCUGGUGGGAAUGAAAUGGCUUAGAAGCUAUGGAAAACACAGACCACUCUAGAGGUUAUUUUUGUUCUCAACCUUUUCUUACC